rnacentral:rRNA from 1 species
UACGAAGGGAGCUAGCGUUGUUCGGAAUCACUGGGCGUAAAGCGCACGUAGGCGGAUUGUUAAGUCGGGGGUGAAAUCCUGGAGCUCAACUUCAGAAUUGCCUUCGAUACUGGCUUUCUAGAGGCUGGAAGAGGUUAGUGGAAUUCCCGGUGUAGUGGUGAAAUGCGUAGAGAUCGGGAGGAACACCAGUGGCGAAAGCGGCCUCCUGGACUGUACCUGACGCUGAGACACGGAAGCUAGGGGAGCGAGCGGG